UUAUCACCAAGGGGGUGACUUAUCGCUCAUUCUCCUCGGACGGCAUAUUUUUAACACCAUGGCAGUUAGGAGUUGAUUGGUUGGUAAUUUGGCGUCUAUUCAUGAAGCAGUGAAAAGAGUGGAGAUGUGAGCCAAUGGAGAAGUUGCCAUGGCAACCUAUCAGUGUUGAGGAAAAGUCUAGGUAAAAACAAAGCUUCACUCAAGUCUAAGUUAAUAUACUGUAGCAAUACCAUCAAGAAGUAAACUAUAAGUUUUAUGUUAAUGUAUAUCAAUGGCCAGUUCAUCAUCAUCAUCUGCCAUAAUCCAUUCAGAGGAAGAUUUCUCCUGUCCAAUCUGUUGGAAUGUAUUUCAGACGCCAGUGAUUGUCAGCCAAUGUAAACACAUAUUCUGCAGGAAGUGUUUCCUUGUUGCUAUGAAUACCACCGGACAUCACUGUCCAGCUUGUCGAGGUCCUGUAGGGAGACAUGAGACAACUAAACCAACAAAAGCCAUUGAUAAACAAAAAGAGAUGAAUAGUCACAUUGGACAGUGCAAAGGCUGUGGAAAACUGAAACAAUAUUCCAGAAUGAGAAGGCACCAAAAAAUGUGCAAAAAAUACAAAGAAUACUGCAGCUAAAUAUAGCACGGGUUUGUGUCUUAAACUUAAUUAGGGCAUCUGUGAUCGCUGGUGUACAGGUACACUUACCUGCAGAGACAGCUCUUCCGAUAAGAGGACUUUCAGGUACAUGACCCAGGAGCACUAUUGUGCACCCAUCAACCUGUGCAUGCGUAAUCAGCAGGGGACUACUGUGAUCUGGAUUGAGAUCUACUAAUUACAAGAAUGUUUUUAUUUUUACUGAGCACAUGUAAAAUUAUAAUGCAAAACGAGAAAAGUUGUCACAGAUGUCAUCAUAAAAACAUGGAACCCAUGGAACCAUUUGGGUGUCAUAGUAAUUCAGAUAUUUGAAUUGCUAAUAACAAGAAAAAUUUGCAAUACAGACAUGAAAUAACACAAAUAAUUACAAGAAUGCUUUUGCUUAUCAGCUGUAUAAAGAGGACUGAUCUGUUCUACAGCUUGUAGAGCAACAGUGCAUUUAUUUUAACAGUUGAUUAAUUUAAUAUUGUGUUAUGUUUAUAUUAAUAAAUUGUACCACAAAGAACUUCUUUUCUCAUACAUAAA